AUGCACGCUGGCGGCGUGCCUAAUACAUGCCAGUCGAGCGAACAGAUGAGGAGCUUGCUCCCCUGACGUUAGCGGCGGACGGGUGAGUAACACGUGGAUAACCUACCUAUAAGACUGGGAUAACUUCGGGAAACCGGAGCUAAUACCGGAUAAUAUAUUGAACCGCAUGGUUCAAUAGUGAAAGACGGUUUUGCUGUCACUUAUAGAUGGAUCCGCGCCGCAUUAGCUAGUUGGUAAGGUAACGGCUUACCAAGGCAACGAUGCGUAGCCGACCUGAGAGGGUGAUCGGCCACACUGGAACUGAGACACGGUCCAGACUCCUACGGGAGGCAGCAGUAGGGAAUCUUCCGCAAUGGGCGAAAGCCUGACGGAGCAACGCCGCGUGAGUGAUGAAGGUCUUCGGAUCGUAAAACUCUGUUAUUAGGGAAGAACAAAUGUGUAAGUAACUAUGCACGUCUUGACGGUACCUAAUCAGAAAGCCACGGCUAACUACGUG
rnacentral:rRNA from 1 species